GAUGAAGAACGCAGUGAAAUGCGAUACUUGGUGUGAAUUGCAGAAUCCCGUGAACCAUCGAGUCUUUGAACGCAAGUUGCGCCCGAAGCCAUUAGGCCGAGGGCACGCCUGCCUGGGCGUCACACGUCGUUGCCCCCCCAUCUACUCCUUCGGGAUUGCGGGGGGCGGAUGAUGGCCUCCCGUGCGCCUCGUCGCGCGGUUGGCAUAAAUGCCAAGUCCUCGGCGACGCACGCCACGACAAUCGGUGGUUGCGAAACCUCGGUUGCCCGUCGUGUGCGGUCGUCGCGCAUCGAGGGCUCGAAAAAAUUGCCGGGCUCCGGCUCGGCUUUCAACGCGACCCCAGGUCAGGCGGGGUUACCCGCUGAAUUUAAGCAUAUCAAUAAGCGGAGA
rnacentral:misc_RNA from 1 species